rnacentral:rRNA from 1 species
UACGUAGGGUGCGAGCGUUAAUCGGAAUUACUGGGCGUAAAGCGUGCGCAGGCGGUUUGCUAAGACCGAUGUGAAAUCCCCGGGCUUAACCUGGGAACUGCAUUGGUGACUGGCAGGCUAGAGUAUGGCAGAGGGGGGUAGAAUUCCACGUGUAGCAGUGAGAUGCGUAGAGAUGUGGAGGAAUACCGAUGGCGAAGGCAGCCCCCUGGGCCAAUACUGACGCUCAUGCACGAAAGCGUGGGGAUCAAACAGG